ACUCCUACGGGAGGCAGCAGUGGGAAAUAUUGCACAAUGGGCGCAAGCCUGAUGCAGCCAUGCCGCGUGUAUGAAGAAGGCCUUCGGGUUGUAAAGUACUUUCAGCAGUGAGGAAGGUGGAUAUGUUAAUAGCAUAUUCUAUUUGACGUUAGCUGCAGAAGAAGCACCGGCUAACUCCGUGCCAGCAGCCGCGGUAAGUACGGAGGGUGCGAGCGUUAAUCGGAAUUACUGGGCGUAAAGCGCAUGCAGGUGGUUUGUUAAGUCAGAUGUGAAAGCCCGGGGCUCAACCUCGGAAUUGCAUUUGAAACUGGCAAACUAGAGUACUGUAGAGGGGGUAGAAUUUCAGGUGUAGCGGUG
rnacentral:rRNA from 1 species